GUUCUUCAUGUAUGAGUGAAGAUGAAACCUGUGAUGGAAUGAAAGAUACAAACGGAUGUUGUGGCACCAGGUUUUGUUGUACACCUAUUAUGACAACGACACCUGCAAUAUGUAGUAAAGAUGACUGUGAUGGCACUUGUACGGGGUAUGAUUGUGGUGAAUUUCUUGACAAUGAAUCUUCAUGCUGUGCGAACAAAUGUUGCCAGUUAGGGGAUGGAUAAAGACUCGGACAUUAACCAUGAAGCAGACAGAAGCAAAUUUAUGUGAAAAUAUCUACAGUUAUAAUAAAAUAAUUACAUGACA